CUUAGUACGAGAGGACCGGGAUGGACGUACCUCUGGUGUACCAGUUGUUCUGCCAAGGGCAUGGCUGGGUAGCUGUGUACGGAAUGGAUAAGCGCUGAAAGCAUCUAAGCGCGAAGCCAACUUCAAGCUAAGAUUUCCCACCGCAAGGGUAAGACCCCAGAAAGACUAUCUGGUUGAUAGGUCGAAGGUGUAAGUGCAGCAAUGUAUUUAGCUUAUCGAUACUAAUAGGUCGAGGACUUGACCAAU
rnacentral:rRNA from 1 species